AGUCUGCCAGGGUUGUCCAUUGAGCCCGCUCUUAUACAUGUUUGCGAUUGAUCCUUUUAUUAGGAGGAUUGAUCGGGGACCGUUGGCGGGAGUCAGGAUGAGUCUGGAAGAGCCAGAAGCCACUCUGAUGGUGGUGGCGUAUGCCGAUGACGUCACUGUUUUCGUGUCCUCGGGA